rnacentral:snoRNA from 1 species
AAGGAGGGUGAUACGAAUGCAUUCUAUUCACUGUGCCAUCUGCUUAAUAUAGAUGAUCAGAGGGGAAAAGAAGAGCUAGAUCCAUUGGGACAGACGCACGGACGUGCGUCUGUCCCAGUUCAUGAGCGUCCUCAUACUGUUCUGUGCAAUUUAUCUUUUUGCAUUGGCACAGAUCGGUAACUGCGUGAGUGAUACAUCA